GAUGAACGCUGGCGGCGUGCCUAAUACAUGCAAGUCGAGCGAACGGACGAGAAGCUUGCUCCUCUGACGUUAGCGGCGGACGGGUGAGUAACACGUGGAACACCUACAUAUAGGACUGGGAUAACUUCGGGAAACCGGAGCAAAUACCGGAUGAUAUAUUGAACCGAAUUGUUCAUUAGUAAAAGACAAAUUUGCUGUCACUUAUGGAUAGAUCGGGGCCGCUUGAGGUAGAUGGUAAGGUACAGCACUACCAAGACAAGGAUGCGUAGCCAACCUGAGAGGGUGAUCGGACAGACUGGAACUGAGACACGGCCCAGACCCCUACGGGAGGCAGCAGUAGGGUAUCUUCCGCAAUGGGCGAAAGCCUGCCCGAGCAACGCCGCGUGAGUGAUGAAGGUCCUCGGAUCGUAAAACUCUGCUAUUAGGGAAGAACAAAUGUGUAAGUAACUAUGCACGUCUUGACGGUACCUAAUCAGAAAGCCACGGCUAACUACGUG
rnacentral:rRNA from 1 species